ensembl:lncRNA
GAGAGCAGCUGCCUCUUCAACAUGGAAGGCUCCUCCCGCUGCUGCUGUUCGCCCAGGAGACAGGUGCCCAUGGAGGAAUGAAAGGCAGGGAAGAGAAGGAAGGUGCCAGUUCCCUGGGGUCCUGUGUCUGCCAGCUACUGUUAAGUGCCUCUGAGAAACUCUGCUUUCAGCUAACGGGGACCACCUAUCCUGGGAACCUCAGUACAUGGGACCAGAACCUCCUGGGUGGACUCUUUGGCAAGAUGAAUUGGACCAAUGGACUAUUUAAGAAACAACUGAAGCAUCAGAUGAACUAUCUCCACAAAUCUUCGGAGUUUUCCUGCCAUGCCGAUGCCAUAUAUUCCAACGUGAUCAACCUGGCCCCCAGGAAGGAGGAGGACUUCGCUGUCUAUGCCAACGUGCCCCCUUUCAAUCGCCCCAGAAGGACAUCCCCAGACCAAGUGGAAUAUGCCUCCAUUGUGUUCCACUGAUGGGAAGCCAGCGAGAUGCUUCAGGGUGGAGAGUCAGACCUGUGCCCUAGCUGGCUCACAAUGCAGCUUUUGCUUUAGAUCUUUGCAGGACAACACACCAAGUGUCGGGGGAGAAGGAGGCGUGGAGGAGCUGCAGCUACUUGUGAAGUGCUUCUUCCUGGGGGCGUGAAACUUGGCGGAGCUCCCGCAGAGAGUGGAGGGGAAGCAGCGCCUGGUGGAAGUGGAUACAUGUCACCACUGACCAGGGUCUGCUCCGUGUGAAUUGGAAGAGCUCUGGAACUUUGCAAAUGACUCACUCCCUCUUUCCUCCAUUUGAAAACCUUCAUUAAACACCACCAUCUUCUAGACCCUGGGAAUGCAGCAGCGAACACAACAGACAAAACCUUGUUCUCAUGGAGCUUACCUUCUAGGAGGGGGAGAAGGGCAAUGAACAAAUAAACAAGCAAA